rnacentral:lncRNA from 1 species
AAGAGAUACAACUUGUUAAGAUUUGUUUACAUAUUAACUUUUCAGUUAUGGCAAUGAGGAAGGCUUCUCUCACUUUCUUGGUUUGUUUGGUUCUCAUCACAAUUGGUAUUUCUUUCCUCUUUCCUUGUCUCAUUGAAAUACAUCAUGUCUAUAAAUACCUAGUUAAUGUUUCAUUUAAAAUCUUAACAUAAUUUUUUUUAUUAGUCGUAUUAACUCAACAUUUGAAAUUAUGAAACAUAAUUACAAGAGUAGAUCUAUCAAAUGAUUUUGUUCCCUUGAUGAAAUUUGAGUUUUUGUUGUUUAUAGGAUAAGUUAUACAUUUAAUUGAUUGGCCAGAAAUAAUUAUAUUCGCAUGUCAAAUAUACAAGAAACAUACACUAAUCAUAUAUGAAAUAUGUGUGUUAUACAUUAAUAAAAUAUAUAUAUAUAUAUAUAUAUAUAUUAUUAGUUAUUAUUUUUUAAGAACGACUAUACAAUGUAUUUUUUUUCCUUUUUAUUUUUUUAUAGGUUUGCAAAGUGCAGAAGUUGAAGGCACACCCGGACCACCAUGCAAACUAGCAUUUGAUUGUGGAGAUUAUUGCAAAGGGGAAAUGGCAUAUUGGUUGUGGCGACAUUGCACAUGCGUUACCGGCUUCCCACCGCGUGGCCGAAAGGCUAUUGUAAAUUCUCCAAUUGGAUCUUAAAUAAAAUAAUUUUAAUUAGGAUUGUAUGAUUAUGCAUAGGAUUAUAUGCUCUAUCCAUGCUUCGUUUGAUUUUCAUAUGAAAUAAUGCAUUUAGUUAGUGAUUUGACCUUUUAUCAGCAUUAUAAUAAUG